AUUGAACGCUGGCGGCAGGCCUAACACAUGCAAGUCGAGCGGAUGAAGGGAGCUUGCUCCUGGAUUCAGCGGCGGACGGGUGAGUAAUGCCUAGGAAUCUGCCUGGUAGUGGGGGAUAACGUCCGGAAACGGGCGCUAAUACCGCAUACGUCCUGAGGGAGAAAGUGGGGGAUCUUCGGACCUCACGCUAUCAGAUGAGCCUAGGUCGGAUUAGCUAGUUGUUGGGGUAAAGGCCUACCAAGGCGACGAUCCGUAACUGGUCUGAGAGGAUGAUCAGUCACACUGGAACUGAGACACGGUCCAGACUCCUACGGGAGGCAGCAGUGGGGAAUAUUGGACAAUGGGCGAAAGCCUGAUCCAGCCAUGCCGCGUGUGUGAAGAAGGUCUUCGGAUUGUAAAGCACUUUAAGUUGGGAGGAAGGGCAGUAAGUUAAUACCUUGCUGUUUUGACGGUACCUACAGAAUAAGCACCGGCUAACUUCGUG
rnacentral:rRNA from 1 species